rnacentral:rRNA from 1 species
AUACGGAGGAUCCGAGCGUUAUCCGGAUUUACUGGGCGUAAAGGGCGUGUAGGCGGUCUUGCAAGUCAGAAGUGAAAUUCCUGAGCUCAACUCGGGCGCUGCUUCUGAAACUGCAGGACUUGAGUGCUGGAGGGGAUAGCGGAAUUCCUAGUGGAGCGGUAAAAUGCGCAGAUAUUAGGAAGAACACCGGUGGCGAAGGCGGCUAUCUGGACAGUAACUGACGCUGAGGCGCGAAAGCGUGGGGAGCAAACAGGAUGAAAUACCCUGGUAGUCCAUGCCGUAAACGAUGUCUACUAGCCGUUGGGGGAUUUGAUCCUUUAGUGGCGCAGCUAACGCGAUAAGUAGACCGCCUGGGGAGUACGGUCGCAAGACUAAAACUCAAAUGAAUUGGCGGGG